GUUUGCUGACACUGGGAGAGGGCGGAUGUGUCUACAAGGCUCUCCCUAAGGUCUUAUCAGAGACACACAGGCAGCCUCAGACUGUAGCCUGUCUGGAACCGCAGUGCCAGAAGACUCUUAACUCUCCACCUAAGACGGGAACUGAAGGGUUUUCCAUACCCCUUACGGUAAUCCAGAAGUAGCUCCUGGGAAUAAGUACGGAGAUUGAAAUGAAGCUAUUGCUACAAUUAUCUGAGGCACCAUCCAGUCAUCUGCAAUAUUUACAGUAUACUGCCCUCCUGUGGUUAUCAACUACAAUAAUCCUCCUCCUGCCAGGCAAUUCUAUAAAUGUAAAAAGUGUGUAUUACCUCAUGUCUUCUUAUCUGAAGGAAUAAUGUGUUGUCUAUAUAUCUCUCAUCAUCCUCUAGUCUAGAUAAUACAAAUAAAUGCGCACUGUCUACCAAA